rnacentral:rRNA from 1 species
UACAGAGGUCCCGAGCGUUGUUCGGAUUCAUUGGGCGUAAAGGGUGCGUAGGCGGCUUUUUAAGUCAGGGGUGAAAUCCUGGAGCUCAACUCCAGAACUGCCUUUGAUACUGAGAGCUUGAGUCCGGGAGAGGUGAGUGGAACUGCGAGUGUAGAGGUGAAAUUCGUAGAUAUUCGCAAGAACACCAGUGGCGAAGGCGGCUCACUGGCCCGGUACUGACGCUGAGGUGCGAAAGCGUGGGGAGCAAACAGG